rnacentral:rRNA from 1 species
UACGAAGGGGGCUAGCGUUGCUCGGAAUCACUGGGCGUAAAGCGCACGUUGGCGGAUUGCUAAGUCAGGGGUGAAAUCCUGGAGCUCAACUCCAGAACUGCCUUUGAUACUGGCGAUCUCGAGUUCGGGAGAGGUGAGUGGAACUGCGAGUGUAGAGGUGAAAUUCGUAGAUAUUCGCAAGAACACCAGUGGCGAAGGCGGCUCACUGGCCCGAUACUGACGCUGAGGUGCGAAAGCGUGGGGAGCAAACAGG